rnacentral:tRNA from 2 species
GCGGAAGUAGCUCAGCUGGUAGAGCAUUUGCUUGCCAUGCAAAAGGUCGCGGGUUCGAAUCCCGUCUUCCGCU